rfam:Dipodomys ordii contig_69882, whole genome shotgun sequence.
AAGUUCCGCGGACUGCACUUUGCUCUGAGUUAUUUUUGGUGAUUUUUUUUAAAGUGAUUUCCUUCCCCCUCCCCCCCCCCCCCCGCGGAGUCCUGGUGGCGCAGCACUCGCGGACAGGUUACCCCGUCUCUCCCGCUAGAUUGAUGAGAUCGGGCAUC